ensembl:lncRNA
ACUGACAGCUCCGUCGCUCCACCAGCCAGGCCACGUUCCCAAGGCUGAGCUUGCUUCCACCCAGCUCUGCCGACCCUGGGCUCGGCCUGGCUGCCAGGCACCCAGCACAUUCCCUCAUCCUGAGCCAGUCAUAGCAUUGCCCUCUAGGUGCUCUCUCCUCUCACUUCCAUGCUCCUGCAGCAAGCAGUCUCCCACCCUGAGCUUAAGGUAUUGGCAUCACAGUAUUUCCACGCUGUGAUUCUUCACACAACACCAAGACGUGAAUCCAGUGUGCUUCCAAAGGUUCUACGAAAUGAAAGAUCACCCAUUUAUGCCCCAUUUACGUUUCUUAUGCCUCAAAGGUGGACUUCAUCCCCUUCUCUCAGAGAAAUCAAUGAAGCUGAGGUCUAUGGCUCAGUGUCAGUCUAUAUGGAGCUGGCUGCCUUCCCAGGUAGGGUAGGUAGUGGGACUGGGCACAGCAAAUCCUGCUCCAAGUCUCCCUGCUCCUUCUUGGACAAGAGCAUUUUAGAGAAGAAGCAAAAUGGAGUGAAGCCAGCAGUAAAGCAAAGCAAGGAGCAAACAGAGAGAUUCCCAAGACAACAAGCGGUAAACAUGAGACCUGCAGGGAAGUUUACUCUUCUGGAUGACAAGCAGAGCACUCGGUAGUCCAAGAUACGCAUAUAAAUAGUUAUUUGUAAGGCUGUUUGGGGUUGUUGUUAUUAUUGGAUUGUGGCUGUUUCUUGUUGGUUUUUGUUUGUUUGUUUUAUUUUGUUUUAAUAAAUACAAUUUUGGGGUCUUUGGCAGCUCAUUGAAUAAACUUCACAGUCUCAAAGCACAGCUUCUGAGCUUAUGCAGCUCCCCUCAGAAAAAGGUCAUCACUGGGUCUUGCAGGAGUUUGUACUAUAAAUGAUUGGCUUUGACAAUUCAGCUCCAUUUCUUGGGGAUUUCUCCCCAAGAACAGCAAUAGGUUGGAAUCUCCCCGGUAUGACUUCACAUUGCUAAGUAAGAAUGCAGCAGAUCAGAGGCCAUUGGAGCUCCACUUUGUCCAGCACCAGUAUUUCAGAAGAACUGGCAAGCAAACCCUCAGCUUCUGGCUGGGACAUCUUGGGAGCUUGGUAAUUUAUCGCCCUUUAAAUGUUCAAGUUGUAGCAAACAUCAUAUGUAUUAUGACAAAGUUUUAAAUAGAGAUUGAAAUGAUUUUUUUUU